UACGGAGGGGGCUAGCGUUAUUCGGAAUUACUGGGCGUAAAGCGCACGUAGGCGGAUUGGAAAGUUGGAGGUGAAAUCCCAGGGCUCAACCUUGGAACUGCCUUCAAAACUCCCAGUCUUGAGGUCGAGAGAGGUGAGUGGAAUUCCCAGUGUAGAGGUGAAAUUCGUAGAUAUUGGGAAGAACACCGGUGGCGAAGGCGGCUCACUGGCUCGUUUCUGACGCUCAGGCGCGAUAGCGUGGGGAUCAAACAGG
rnacentral:rRNA from 1 species